rnacentral:rRNA from 1 species
AGAGUUUGAUCAUGGCUCAGGAUGAACGCUGGCGGCGUGCCUAAGACAUGCAAGUCGAGUGGGUUUAGACCCACGGCGAACGGGUGAGUAAUACCUAGGAACUUUCUUUAAGUGGAGGAUAACUAGUCGAAAGAUUAGAUAAUACUCCAUGUGAUAGUAAUAUCAAAGUCGCAAGACGCUUAAAGUGAGGCCUGGGCACCAUCAGCUAGUUGGUAAGGUAAUGGCUUACCAAGGCUAUGACGGUUAGGGGUCCCGAGAGGGAGAACCCCCACACUGGAACUGCGACACGGUCCAGACUCCUACGGGAGGCAGCAGUUUGGAAUUUUGGACAAUGGGCGAAAGCCUGAUCCAGCGACGCCGCGUGGACGAUGAAGGCCUUCGGGUCGUAAAGUCCUUUUGCUCGGGAACAAUAUUUUGAGCGUACCGAGAGAAUAAGAGGUUGCUAACUCUGUGCCAGCAGCAGCGGUAAUACAGAGACCUCAAGCGUUAUCCGGAAUCAUUGGGCGUAAAGCGUACCGAUAGGUGGUUUUACAAGUCAGAAGUGAAAUCUCUCAGCUUAACUGGGAGACUGUCUUUUGAAACUGUAAAACUAGAGGGGCAAAGAGGAAGCUGGAACAAGCGGUGUAGUAGUGAAAUGCGUUGAUAUCGCUUGGAACACCAAUAGCGUAGGCAGGCUUCUGGGUGCCACCUGACACUGCUAGGACGAAAGCGUGGGGAGCGAAUGGGAUUAGAUACCCUAGUAGUCC